GAGUUUGAUCGUGGCUCAGAACGAACGCUGGCGGCAUGCCUAACACAUGCAAGUCGAACGAACUCUUCGGAGUUAGUGGCGCUCGGGUGCGUAACGCGUGGGAAUCUGCCCUUGGGUACGGAAUAACUCAGAGAAAUUUGUGCUAAUACCGUAUAAUGACUUCGGUCCAAAGAUUUAUCGCCCAAGGAUGAGCCCGCGUAAGAUUAGCUAGUUGGUGGGUAAAGGCCUACCAAGGCUACGAUCUUUAGCUGGUCUGAGAGGAUGAUCAGCCACACUGGGACUGAGACACGGCCCAGACUCCUACGGGAGGCAGCAGUGGGGAAUAUUGGACAAUGGGCGAAAGCCUGAUCCAGCAAUGCCGCGUGAGUGAUGAAGGCCUUAGGGUUGUAAAGCUCUUUUACCCGGGAUGAUAAUGACAGUACCGGGAGAAUAAGCUCCGGCUAACUCCGUGCCAGCCGCCGCAGU
rnacentral:rRNA from 1 species